rnacentral:rRNA from 1 species
CUUGGCAGGUACAGAACUGUGAUCUCGCUCAAAAGUWCUUAAUAAGUAUAUUUGUUUAUAUCGGGGGAUCGUGAAGAUUUUAUCGGAGAGUAUKUGCACUCGGAAGGUCUAASAUGAAUAUUAAAUUCUCGGACAGUAUGUACUUAUAAGGKKGUAUGUCUAAAGGGAAACAGCCCAGARCAAGAAUUAAUAAGGUUCCAAAAUUAUUGUUGAGUGAAAUUAAGGAUGUAUYUUUUUAUACGAUCAGGGAAUAGGCUUAKAAGCGGMCAUUUUUUGAAGACCUCGUAACAGAGCACUGAUUUCUAGAAAAUUAUACCGAAAAUAUAACGGAUCUAAAUAAUAUACCGAACUCUUGUCCAUAUAUUAAAAAAAAUAUAUGGGGUAGCGGAACAAYGGGUAAAKMUUAGAUUUGUUCUUUAAAAGAACAAAGAAUCAGAUGACCCAAGUGAUAAUGCCGAUAUGAGUAACGAAMAAGAAUAACUCGCCUAAAGCUUAUGGUCUACAGAUUAAUUCUUAUUAAUGCGGUUUCUAAGAUAUACAUAUUAUCGAUGAAAAUUGGCUAACAGAAAGUGAAGACAAAAUUAAUGAAGUGUUAUUAAUUCUGGAAAAUCUUUUGCCUAUAACCGUACCUAGAUACUAACACAUGYAAGCAAGUACAGAAUACAAAGGC